rnacentral:rRNA from 1 species
CUACUCGGGUUUCUAAUCCCGUUCGCUCCCCUGGCUUUCGCGUCUCAGCGUCAGUGGGCGUCCAGGCGCUCGCUUUCGCCGCGGGCGUUCCUCACGAUCUCAACGCAUUUCACCGCUCCACCGUGAGUUCCAGCGCCCCCUACGCCCCUCCAGGCGACCCGUAUCGCGGCCCGAGCCCCGGUUGAGCCGGGGCCUUUCAGCCGGCGACGCGGCCGCCCGCCUACACGCGCUUUAAGCCCAGUGAAUCCGAAUAACGUUCGCACGGUUCGUCUUACCGCGGCUGCUGGCAC